GCCGUAGUUAAGGCGGGAGGCUACAAAGUGCUGCGGGAAACCGCGGUGUUAGCUAGCUAGUACUUUGUGGCGUCGUCGUCAGGUUUAAGAUGAUUUGUGCACGCCCGCGUUUGUUUUUCGUCAGUAAUGAAGGCCUGCUCCAUUAAAAUGGCAGAUAUACCGACUGCUGCAGCUUUGUUUCUGCUGAGGAAGUCCUAGAUAUGUUGGGAAAUUAAACUGCGUCAUGUCUGGAUUAGUAACCUCAUCUGGUGGAACGAACCAGCCUUCUCAACGCUAACUUUACCUGUGCGGUUCAGAUUUAACUGUUUAGUUAUUGCAAUAAACCGAUAAAAACUAAGCUAAAAUACAAACAUUGUGAUGAAGAUUUGUUAAAUGUUUGAAUUCAUACUAAAUCAGGUCCUUCCACAAGACAACAACCAAACAACUUUUUUAAAUGUUCGUUCCUUAAAAAGAGUUUAGGGCAAUAGUGGAUUUAUACAAGUGGUGUGAACCCAAAAUAACUAAUUCCGCCGUUAUUUACUUGUGAAAUGGGUCUAAAGUAAGCCGAAACAGCAACAUCGUGAUACAGAUUAAAAAGAUAAAGUAUCAGUUCUGUCUGCAAAAUGACAAGCAAACAACUUUUAAUAAUGCUUGUUUUCUGAAUAAAGUUCUAAAAAAGUUGCCAGGGCAUCGUGUUGCAAACAGAAUAUUUAGAUUUUCUUUCUUUUAUUUUUCCUGCAUAUGAUGAACAAUCAUCACUGUUGUUUGUGAAACAUAUGUUAUCUCCUUGCAGGAGAUUGAACCCUUUUUUCACUAGCUGCAGUUUCAGGAUGUUGCUGAAGGUGAAAUGCAAUACUAUCAAGAAGUACAUCAAAUUGCCCUCAGGCUUCACCUAUUCAGAAUUCAUCAGGGAAGUCAAAAACAAGUUUGGGCUUCCUGAUGUAGCUCUACUUGACAUUUUUGAUGAUACUGACACAGCAGAAGAGGAAGACAUUCUUCUGUCUGUCUGGCAGGAGAGCUGUUGGAGGCCAAUCCAGACAUGUGCCUGACAGUACGUGACAGCAUUUCCAAUGAAGACUUUUCUCCUCUAGAUCAUUCAACACCAUCUUCCCUCACGGGCACCAUAUCACUUCCUUCAAGUGACAGUGACCUUAGAGAACUGGAUUGUAGAAAAUGCCUUGCUUAAGAAGCCUGGAGGAGAGGAUAUUCUUGAGGAGUACAAGUCAGAAAAUUCACUAAUGCACCGCACUCGGAGACAGCUUGUCAACAUAUUGGCGAGUGAUAUGACUGAGAGACAUGGCAGGAUUCCUUCCCGUCAGCAGAAGGAGAAGUAUGCUCUGGGAAUUAUUACUCUCUUUCCCUCACUGAAGGAUCCUUUUUCUCCAAAGGGCUAUGAGCAUUUCUAUGAUGGGGAAAGAGGAACUGGAUAUUUAGCGUGGCGCCUCAAAACCAUUUCCAGGACUUCAGCAAAACGGCCAGUCAAAGCAGUCUCAGUGCAUCAAGCACAAGGACCAAAGCGGCAAAGAUCAGCAACCACACUGCCUCAGCAGCUUGAUGGAGAUGCCUGCAGGGAGGCCAUUUCAUUUCUUGUUCACUCCCCUGAUGAAGCAAGUGUAUUUCCGAAGAUGAAGAUGACGUUUCAACAUGGUCAGGACCUAGUGCAUGACCCACAAAGAAGCACAGAUGUCUUCAAAACAUUUCCACGCUUUUUAGAUGUCAAAGGACUUGUGAAUCAAGACUUCCUCCUGCUGUUUGGUGCUGAAACAGCCUCCAAGAUGCUUGAGAAGUGGGACACCUCAUUCAAGCUCAAGUUCAUCAAAGAGGCCAAACAACUGACUCCGACAACUGAGCUGUGCCGACUUCUAAAAGCUUCUAAAACUGGGACAGUGACAUCGCUUCUAUGCUGCUUCUUCUCUAUCUCUCGCCACCCACAGCGGGAGGGAAGAGGACCAAAAUAAGUCCAAGUGCUGCAGUGGAGAAAAUGGUGUACUUUCAUAAGUCAUGCUGCUCCAUCAAUGAAUAUCUGCAGGAAAGGGAGAGUAAACAACCAUACAUCCUUGCCAUUGGCCGAACCCAGAAGGCGAUUGAUACCUUCUACAUCGCCUUUGACAAACAGCUCAUCCUCUGCCAAGCCACCAGCUCGUUGGGUGCUUUUGAUGAACUGUUUAAAUCCCACUACUUGUUCAACUUGUCUUAUGAUGAGUCCCUGGUCCAUUUCUACACUUUUCUGCAGACAACGGUCUACAACAUUGAUGUUACCACAACAGAUGAGUCUCCAAGAGUUUGUGAGUUGCGGGCAAAACUUUUGAAUGACAUAUGAAUAUGUUUAAAUGUUUUGUAUGUCAAGCAGUGCAUGCUACCAGUCAGUGCCUAAUACCUCAUUUGUGAAUCUGCCAGUUUCUAUCCAAGCACUAGGUUUAAGUUAGUUUGUGCACAAGAUCAUUGUAGGCGUCAGUUUUCAACAUUUUCAGGUUUUAAAAAGCAUUUAAUUAGUGUGCAUGAUAAGGAUUGUCAAAGUGGUGAUGCAGAAACCUCAGAGUCAUUUCAGGCGGAUUUUCACAGUUUACAAAAUGGUACAGAAGUUGGAACUGAAGUUGCAGGAACAAGUGUCGUGCAGAGCCCUGACACUGGGUAUUUUGAUAACAAUGGAUCAGGUCAAAGUAUCAAAGAAAACACAGAAGAUAUCUGUGCUACAAUUAUUGCCAAACUCCAUGGUAGUGGAAUGGCAAAUAAUGUAGUUUCGUCAAUUGUUGGUGAUUUGGAAGAAUUUGCUGGUGGUCUGCACUCCUAAGUUAAGCAUGAAAUACUGUCUGCCGUGCCAAAAGAGAACCCUGUAAGAUCUACAUUGGAAAAGGGUUUUGAGAAUUUAGAAAAUCCAUUUGUGAGUUUUAAUACUGAAACUAACAGAAUGAAGUAUUUCAUCAAAAAAUGGGGAAUUGUGGAGCCCCUGGAAAAAAAUUUAGGAGUUCGAUUUGAUACAAGACGAAAUAAAAAUACGGGUACUUAUGAUCAGGUCCCAGUGAAAGACACUUUUGUUUACAUUCCAAUUUUGGAAACUAUUAAAUUUAUCUAUCGCAAUUCUUAUAUUUAUGAACUACUUGCAAAACCAUGUGUAUCAAAAGACAGAUAUGAAGACUUUUGUGAUGGAAGUUAUUUUAAGUCACAUCCAUUGUUCUCAAAAACACAGAGUUCUUUACUAAUUCAGCUUUACUAUGAUGACUUUGAGACUGCUAACCCACUGGGUUCAAAACGUGGUGUUAACAAAGUUGGUGCUCUCUAUUUUGUCCUCCGAAAUCUGCCUCCAAAGUUAAACUCUGUAUUAAUGAACAUUCAUUUGGUGGCAUUGUUUCACACAGAAGAUGUGAAAAAAUAUGGCUUUGAUCCUAUUUUACAGCCUCCAAUUGAUGACAUCAAAAUAUUGGAGUGAUGGCAUUGAUUUGCCUUUCUCAUCUGAAAAGGUCUAUGGCACUAUAUGUCAGAUAACUGGGGAUGCAUGGAAUAAUGGGUUUUACAGAGUCUUUCAGUGGACGUCACUUCUGUCGUUUGUGUUUGAUUGAAAAAGAGGAUGCUCAGAAUGUUUACAAAGAGGAUGACCCAAAGAUAAUCUUGCGUGGAAAAGACAUUUUUGAAAUGCACAGCAGUGAGUUGCAAUCAGAUCCACAAAAGAUGUGUGUGUUUGGUCUAAAGAAGAAUUCAACUCUUAACAGCCUACAGUACUUUCAUGUUUGCUACAACUUUUCUUUGGACAGAAUGCAUGACAUACUUGAAGGGGUGGCUCAGUAUGAGAUAAAGUUACUGUUUGAAUAUCUCUCGGAAAAUGUGUUGUCAAAACCUGGUCAUUUGUCACGAAUCUAUGCUUUUGACUAUGGCUACUUGGAGCGCAAAAAUCGCCCGACAAGGGUCAACUUGGACAGUAUAGGCAAUAAUAUUAGGACUCAACUCUAUUCAGACUCUUUUUCUGGUAAGAAACAUUCCUUUGAUUUUUGGUGACAUUCACUGCAUGAAAAGUGAUAUUUUCAUCUCCGUAAACGCCCGGAAAUAUCCCUAAUUUCCGGGCGUAUCACAAAUACUGAUGGCUGACAUGCAAUAGGUGCAGAGCGGACAGUGGCAGGAGUGAUGGCAAAUUUCCACCAUAUUAUUACUUUUACAAUAUGACCUAUCUCCCUGUUUGUAAUGUUAGACUUCUCUGUAUUUAGACCCACCCAGAAAAGACUAAUGUUUUAGGACACCAUGUUUUCAGCAAGAUGAUUAUCAGAGGUGAGACGUAGUCAGGGGGAGUUCUCUCAAGUUCAUUAGCACCCUUGUUGAUUGGAUUGUCUGUUUUGACAAUGGAAAGGAGAUGAAUGGUGGAGAUGUUUUGAUGCUCAGAUGUUGUAUUGACGCAUUGACGAGUAAUAUAUUAUAUUUGUAAGAUUACAGAACUGAGGUAGGGUAGGAUGAUUACCCAUCACCCUACCUUUGUCCCUGGACUUUGCUGUGCAUCCCCACAUUCUCUACAUAGUUCUUGUCAGGUUUUCUAGUACAUUACACAAGUAUGAUUACUUUAAUAACAUCUAAAUGUAUACGUGACCGGGGCAACUGAUGUGCGUGGCCGCAAUGAAACAACGCCACUCUGGGACUUUCACCCAGAGUGUACCACAAAUUAAUAUUAGGUUCUUAUUUGUUUAAGAAAGGGAGCAGAGAGGUGAAUUUCUAGUUCUUUUUAACAAUGUCCAGUUUUAUUUAUAGAUAGGCUUCAUGUUGGUUAACAGUCUCGGUUUAAAAAUAAGGUUAUUAAAAAAAUAUCUUCUAUGCUAAAAAAAAUGAUGUCACUAUACUGAGGUGUUGUACCAGCACAGGGGUACCAGGUGAAAGGGGCCACCACCAGAUACCAGAAAGGAAACGUCACACACUGCAAAGCAAAAAAAGACUAUUAGAAAUAAAUUAAAUUAGAUCGCAAAUAUAAAACAUGCCAAAUAAAUUAAAAAAAAAAAAAGAGGAAGCCCUCCACCUAGUGAACCACCACCUUGGGCCUUUGACCAGCCCACCUGUACUGAUCAGUAUAGGACAUAAACAAGGUAACCAUAAAAACAGAACAUUUACAAAAGGGGGGAAAAACAGCAGUGGCUAGAACUCAACAAUCACCGAAAAGCCGACAUCACUUCCCUGUGUCACACAUAACGUACAAAACUCGACCCAACAUCACGGCACCGCUACAGACACUGCAUGAAAAGUGAGAUUUUCGUCCCCGUAAACGCCCGGAAAUCUCCCUAAUUUCCGACAAUU